rnacentral:lncRNA from 1 species
AUGGGAGUUUCCCUGCACAAAACUCUCUUUUUGCCUGCUACCAUCCACGUUAGAUGUAACUUGCUCCUCCUUGCCUUCCACCAUGAUUGUGAGGCCUGCCCAGACAUGUGGAACUCUGAUAUAAGUCUUUUGAGGUACAGCCUGCCACAAAAAGAAUGAGAUUUGUGGGCAGAAUUUUGGAAGAAUAUCUCCCAAGAGAACAUUUAGGACAGAGCCCUGCAUCUCCCCGAGAAGAGGUGAAAGAGACUGCUCCUAUCUGUUCCUGCAUCAAACUUCAGGCUCAAGACCUGUCCAGAAAAAAAAAAUGUCUUCUUUCAGGGAUGAACCUGCUGUCCUCAUCAGAGGCCUUAUUUUGUUUAGAAUUCAAGCUCACUUGACAGGUUAUUGUGAAGAUUAAAUGAAUUAAUACAUGUGAAGCAACUAUAACAAAUCUUGACAUGCGUGGGCUGGACUUCCAGAAUAAACGUUGUCAGAACUCUGCCCAACUGAAAACAAGCCUACUAAAAAUAAAUAAAUAAAUAAAUAAAUAGAAUUUUAAAAAGUAAUUAAUUAAA